rnacentral:rRNA from 1 species
UCGCGUCCCCAGGUCAGGCGAGACUACCCGCUGAGCUUAAGCAUAUCAAUAAGCGGAGGAAAAGAAACUUACGAGGAUUCCCCUAGUAACGGCGAGCGAACCGGGAAGAGCCCAGCAUGAAAAUCGGGCGGCGGCGUCGUCCGA